UAUACUCGACAGUACUGUACUACAGUACAACCUAACAACUUUGUUCUUAUCCUCAUGUCCUUUACGAAAGCCAACUGCCCAGUUUGACCAACGAUGAGUAACGGACAACCAGCAUAAGCCAACUGCCCACUUUUACCAACGAUGAGUAAUGGACAACCAGCAUAAGAUACCAGCAUUGUGUUACCCUCGUGUGUGAUCGCCCAUUACUGCUGUGUUGCAGACGUUUUGGGAAUGGAAAGUCCCCUGCUGCAGAGUAGGAUGGAUCCAGCUGACUGCUAACAAUUUGGAGGAGGAUUGCUCUUUAUCUGCUAUGUUGCACUGUCGACUUCUGGUACAAAUGAAUUGACCUUUUGUGCCAUGCUUUUUUUACUUAACUUAAUUUUAAACUUGUAGAUGUAUCUGUUUUGUUUAAACAUAAACUCUAAACACAAACACUGCAAGGUCAAGGUUUGAAAUAAUUGUAUUCCAUUUUAUACAGUACUUUUAGAGUUUCUAUUUUUGUUUUCCAAAAUA